AUUGAACGCUGGCGGCAGGCUUAACACAUGCAAGUCGAGCGGGGGAAGGUAGCUUGCUACCGGACCUAGCGGCGGACGGGUGAGUAAUGCUUAGGAAUCUGCCGAUUAGUGGGGGACAACAUCUCGAAAGGGAUGCUAAUACCGCAUACGUCCGACGGGAGCAAGCAGGGGAUCUUCGGACCUUGCGCUAAUAGAUGAGCCUAAGUCGGAUUAGCUAGUUGGUGGGGUAAAGGCCUACCAAGGCGACGAGCUGUAGCGGGUCUGAGAGGAUGAUCCGCCACACUGGGACUGAGACACGGCCCAGACUCCUACGGGAGGCAGCAGUGGGGAAUAUUGGACAAUGGGGGGAACCCUGAUCCAGCCAUGCCGCGUGUGUGAAGAAGGCCUUAUGGUUGUAAAGCACUUUAAGCGAGGAGGAGGCUACUUUAGUUAAUACCUAGAGAUAGUGGACGUUACUCGCAGAAUAAGCACCGGCUAACUCUGUGCCAGCAGCCGCCGUAA
rnacentral:rRNA from 1 species